AUUGCCUUAGUAACGGCGAGUGAAGCGGCAAAAGCUCAGAUUUGAAAUCUGGUGUCAUUUUGGCACCCGAGUUGUAGUCUGUAGAGGAGUAUUCGAGUGUAGCUUUGGCUUAAGUUCCUUGGAACAGGGCGUCAUAGAGGGUGAGAACCCCGUUAACGGCCUUUGUCUUAUGCUCAUGUGAAUCUCCUUCAAUGAGUCGAGUUGUUUGGGAAUGCAGCUCUAAAUGGGUGGUAAAUUCCAUCUAAAGCUAAAUACUGGCAAGAGACCGAUAGCGCACAAGUAGAGUGAUCGAAAGAUGAAAAGAACUCUGAACAGAGAGUUAAAUAGUACGUGAAAUUGUUGAAAGGGAAGCACUUGCGACCAGACGCACUUGCAGCUGAUCAAUCUCCAUUCUUGGAGGUGCACUCGGUUGUCUGUGGGUCAGCAUCAGUUAUGGUGGUGGGAAAAAGACCAAGGGAAUGUGGCUCUCUUCGGGGAGUGUUAUAGCCCUUGGUGUAAUGCUGCCUGCUGUGACUGAGGACCGCGCUU
rnacentral:rRNA from 2 species